AGUCGAGCGAACAGACAAGGAGCUUGCUCCUUUGACGUUAGCGGCGGACGGGUGAGUAACACGUGGGUAACCUACCUAUAAGACUGGGAUAACUUCGGGAAACCGGAGCUAAUACCGGAUAAUAUUUCGAACCGCAUGGUUCGAUAGUGAAAGAUGGUUUUGCUAUCACUUAUAGAUGGACCCGCGCCGUAUUAGCUAGUUGGUAAGGUAACGGCUUACCAAGGCGACGAUACGUAGCCGACCUGAGAGGGUGAUCGGCCACACUGGAACUGAGACACGGUCCAGACUCCUACGGGAGGCAGCAGUAGGGAAUCUUCCGCAAUGGGCGAAAGCCUGACGGAGCAACGCCGCGUGAGUGAUGAAGGUCUUCGGAUCGUAAAACUCUGUUAUUAGGGAAGAACAUACGUGUAAGUAACUAUGCACGUCUUGACGGU
rnacentral:rRNA from 1 species